GUGGGACAGACUGUCAUGCUGAGAAGAUCACAGGCUUUAUUUAAAUUUAGACAGAUUAUCAUUUGAGCCCUGGCCAUAUAUCUUCUAUGUGGAUUUGGAGAGGUCUUUUAACUCUCCUGAGUAUCAGGCCCUUUGUCUGUUAAAUGUGUACUUUGCAGAAUUAGUGUGAGAACCAUAUAAGAUCCUGGCAUAUUGGCACCAGGUAAAGAUCCAGAGAUAAUAUUUUCGGAUGUGAAAAGAGACUGUAAAUUUACCAGUAUUUCUUCACAUCUUCUUCUAUGAUAAUUGAAGUUUUUGUUGGUUACAUGGCUGACCAGCUAAAGACUACAUUUUCUAGACUUCCUCACAAUUAGGUGUGGUCAUAUGACUAGGUUCUGGACAAAAAAAUAUAAGCAGAAGUCAUUUAUGUAACUUCUGGAUUAUCUCUUAAAAGUGAAGGAGCUAAGAUUCGAAUGAUUCCCAAAACCAACUCUACGGACAGGGAUUGGCCUGGACUAUAAGAUAGACAAUGAUGCUGGUGAAGAGUGAACUUUAUGGCUCAAGUAGACACAUGAGACUAUGCAGGUGACACCUGCCUGGUGGCAAGAUGAGAAGGAAGAGGUGGACAGGAGCUGGUUGAAUGGACACGGGGAAUACAGGGUGGAGAAGAGGAAUGUGCCAUCUCAUUAAGCGUACAAUUGCUAAGCCUGGGAGAACUUAAAUAGCUGGCCCUGAAGGACCGAGGUCUAAGAUGUGAGUGGCAUGAUGUAAAAAAAAAAAAAAAAGUGGAAUGAAAAUGAAGCAGGUUGAAAAGAAGAAAGAUGAACAAAAAUCAAAGAGGGUAAUAUCAGAAUUUGCAUUUCCAGAAAAUGAAUCUGUAAUCUUGAGAUCGCACUUGAAAAUCUGUGAGAGAUACAUAAUAAUCAGAAAAAUGUGCAAAGUAUGUAAGAUACAAUGACAGAAAAUGGAUGAAUGCUACUUAGAAAUGAGGAUGGCAAGGUUUCGUUUUGCUUACUUAGGACAUGUUAUCAGGAGAGAUCAAUCCCUGGAGAAGGACAUCAUGCUUGGUAAAGUAGACCGUCACUGACAAAGAGGAAGACUCAAUGAGAUGGACUGGCACAGUGGCUGCAACUUACAUACUAUUGUGAGGAUGGCACAGGACUAAGCAAUGUUUCAUUCUGUCUUGACAGCACCUCACAACACCAGCAACAUAUUGAGAACACAUUAUUAUUGAAAUCACAUAUUGUUAAUGGGAGCCAUUGUGUCUACCCAGUCCAUUGCAUAUUAUAUAUCCUUCAAAAGAUAAAACAUAAAAAGACUGAUUUCUCCCAGAAGUGUUACUUGGAAAGAAUAUUGGACCAAGAUAAUAAUCCUCUUGGUGGUGGUUAUGAGUCUGCAGAAUAAUAGAGGGGCAUUAUCACAUAUCAGAUAUCAUAAGAAGACUUUUUCAACAUAUGUGUCUGGUAUUUUUUUCCUUCCUCAUCCCUCUCAUCUUUAUCUUCAGUCCCUCACCCUUUAGAGUUUAUAUCCAAGACAACAAAUCCACCAAAAUUUAUGCUUCUUUCUCUCAUAUUGCUAGAGCUUAAGUUGCAUUCAUGAUUGCCCAGCUAGAAACUACAUUCUGCGGCCUCCCUUGCAGCUGUUGUUCUUAGGUGUCGUUGAGUCGGUUCCAACUCAUAGCUACCCUAUGUACAACAGAAUAAAACACUACCCAGUCCUGCACCAUCUUCAUAAUCAUUGUUAUGCUUGAGCCCGUUGUUGCAGCCACUGUGUCAAUCCAUCUCGUUGAGGUCUGUCAGUUUGUGGUACUGUGGGGGCUUACAUGUUGCUGUGACGCGUAUUGCUGUGAUGCUGGAAGCUAUGCCACUGGUAUUCAAAUACCGGCAGGGUUUCCUGUGGUGGCCAGGUUUCAGCUGAGCUUCCAGACUAAGACAGGCUAGGAAAAAGGACCCAGUGGUUUACUGCUGAAAAGAAUUAGCCAGUGAAAACCCUUGCAGCUAGGUAUGGCAAAUUGUGGGACGAGCAGAAGAGAUAUAAGCAAUGUUUGCCUUCACUGCUGAAAAGGAAAUCACUGCCCUGUACUUGCUCUCUAUUUUCUUGAAACCACUGUGUUCUUGAUUUUUUCUAGCAGCUUAGUUUUUACCCCAACAAAUACAGUAGCAACAUAUGAAUCUCUCAAUCAAAAUCAGUACAUAAAUUAGAAAAACUUCUCAGGAAAUUUUGAAAAGACUUGUCUUUCCCAUUCUUAGAAGCUGUUGGACUGCAAUUUAAGAAAACUGGAUAUUAUUUUGAAGCUUUGUUAAAACACAAAACAAAACAAAAAGACAUAAUUUUGGGUAAGUUAUUUAACACGUCUGGACCUCAGGAGUUUUGUUUGUAAACAUAGAAAUUGGAUCAGAGAACCACUAAAAUCCUUUUCAGGUUUAAAUGUCUAUCAGUUUUAAAAAGUGGAACAUUUACAAACACAUUUUUGCUUCUUUUCCAAGUACAGGCUUCAUUCACAAUCAUCUUAAAAUUCUAUUUGAUAAAUCUUUACCAUACUUUAAAACUUGGCUAAAUUUAGUUUUUUUUUUUUCAAAGCUAUAUUAUCAAAUACAAAUGUCUUACUCUUUUGCCUUACUUGCACUGAUUUUCGUCCACAGAAUCCAGAUUUAAACAUUUAUUGACCUACUAGGUCUAGGUACCAUGUCAGGGUCUUUCAGAUAUAUUAUUAUACUUAAUCCUUACAGUUCCUUAGGAGGUAGAUACAAUUACCUGUGUUUUUAAAGAGAGAGAGAGAGAGAAAGAAAAAUGACUUGAAUUAAAAAAAAGAUUCAAACUAAUGGAUGGCCUUUGAAGAAAAGCAAAAAAGGCAUCUUCAUUUGAUAUGAUCUUAGCUUGGGAAAAAAAAAAUGUCUACAAAGCUUUAAAAAUUGAACCUGUUGUUAUACAUAUUAUAUUAUCGUAAGUCUUAAAAACAGAUCAGUGCAUAACUUGGAAGAAAAUGUAGUACUAAAUCAAACUUCAAUAUAUUUUAGAUGUCAGGGUUCCUUUUUCUUCACAGAAGAAAUUAUUGGUUAGAACACAUUACAACUCUGUUCGUUUUUUAAAAGCGAUUACACGUAAUCUUACAACUAUUUGAAAAUAAAUUAACCGUUUAUACAUUUGUGACAUCCUAAUUUUCAACAGAUAGACAGACAGACAGAUAGGUAGCUGCCAUCAAAUUGACUCUGACUCAUGGUGACCUUAUGUACAACAGAAUAAAAUGUUGCUUGACCCCGCUUCAUCCUCAUGGUCACCAACAUGUUCAAGUCCACGGUUGAGGCUGUUCUGUGAAUCCAUCUCACUGAGGGGUUCCCUCACCCUCGUUGGCUCUCAACUUCAUCAAACACAAUGUCAUCUUCCAGCAAUUGAUCCCUCCUGUGACAUGGCCAAAGCAAGUAUUUUGUACAGGUGGUUAACAUCAACAGCCUCAAUGAUAUGAAUGGGUCAAAUCCAAUCAGUUGAAGACCUUAACAGCCAAAACUGAGUUUUCCAAGGGAAGAAGAAAUUCUGCCUGAAGACUUCAGCAUAAAAUCCUGCUUGAGUUUUCAGCCUGCCAGCCUGCCCUACCAGGUACAGCUAAGAAUGGAAUUGCUGUGUCUUAAGGUAGGCAUAAACUGUAAAGCAGUUUGGAAAGUUGGUUAUAUUAUUUUACACACUUAUCUCUAAUUAAUGAUGAUUUUGCUGUUCUAAAUCUUCCUUAGUAAAAUUGGUAGUUAUUCUUUUCAAUUUUAUAUGUUCAAAUAUGUGUCUGGUGGUAUUUAAUAGUGAUUUUAAAAUUGCAUUUCCCUCAUGACUAAUGACGUAGUUGAGUAUCUUUUUGCAUGCUUAUUUGCCACCCAUAUACUUCUUCUGUUGAAUAGUCCUUUAUCAAUUUUUAAUUUAGUUUAUUAUCGUGUUUUGAGAUUUCUUUACAUAUUCUUAAUGCAAGUCUUAUCAAAUAUAUGAUUUGUAAAUCUUUUUUACCUGUAUCUAUCUUUCAAAGAGCAGACAUUCUUACUUUUAAUAAAAUCCUAUUCAUCAAAGUCUUCUUUUAUGAAUCAUGAUUUUGGAGUCAUAUCCUAUGUAAACUUCUAAAGUUAUAUAAUUUUAGAUUUUACAUUUAAGUCAGUUACUCAUUUUAAGUUAAUUUUUAUGUAGCAUGCAAGAUAUGGAUCAAAGCUCAAUAUUUUUGCAUACUGAUUUCCAACUAUUCCAGCACCAAUUUUGAAAAACAUAUAUGCACCACUAAAUUGCCCUUAUACUUUUUAAGAAAUAAAUUGGCCAUAUAUAUGUGGGUCUAUUUUUGGAUUCUGUAUUCUGCUCAGAUACAUUUUUCUAUCCUUAUGUGCAUAUGACACUGUAUCUAUUAAAGUAGCUUUAUAAUGUCUUGAAAUAAGGUCAUUUUCAUUCUCCAACUUUAUUCUUUUUCAAGGUUUUAUUUUUAAUUUUUUUUGGAUACUCUUAACUUUCCUGAAUUUCCAAAUGAAGUUUACAGUCAGCUUGUCAAUUUACACACACUCACACACACACACACACACACACACACAAAAGCACAACACAAAACAAAACUUUCUGGGGUUUUACUUGGGAUUUCCUUGAAUCUAUAGAUAAAUUAGAAGAGAAUUGACAUCUUAACAAUAUUCAGUCUUGUAAUCCAUAGACAUUGUAUAUCUCCUCAUUUGUUUAGGGCUUCUUUAGUUCUCUUAGUAAUGUUUUGUUCUAUUCACUAUACAGGUAUUUUACAAUUUUUGUCAAAUUCAUCCCCAUGUAUUUCAUAUUUUUUAAUGGUUAUGUUGGUAUGUAAUUAACAUGCCGUAUAAUCUCCUUACUUACAAUGUGCAAUAUGAUAUUUUUAUUAUAUUCAUUUAUUUAUAUUUAUUAUAAUAUUUAUUUAUAUUUAUUAUAUUAAUCCCUGACCAUAAUUUAAAUUUAUCUAUUUUUAGUGAAAUAGAAUCUGCAUACCUAAUAUUCACAUUUUUAAAGUAUACAGUUUAGUGAUUCUUAAUGUAUUCAAAGUUGUUCAACCAUCACCACUAAAUAAUUCCAGAAUAUUUUUAUCAUCCCCAAAAGAAAUCCUGUACUCAUUCUUCCUACCCACCAGCUCCUGGUAACCAUUAACCUACUUUUGGUCUUUAUGGAUUUGUCUAGUCUCGACAGUUCAUAUAAAUGGAAUUAUGCAAUAUCUUUUAGUAUGUGGCCUCUAUUAUUUAGUAAAAUGUUUUCAGUAUUUAUCCAGAGCAUUAUUGCUUUUUAUGGAUGAAUAAUAUUCCAUUGUAUGGAUAUACCAUACUAUUUAUCCAGUCACUUGUAGACAGACAUAUGAGUUGUUUCCAUUUGUUGGCUAUUAUGAAUAAAAUUGCUAUGAAUAUUUUGGCUCAAGUAUUUGUGUGCAUACGUGUUUUCAAUCCUUUCAUAGCUAGGAGUGAAAUUUUCUGGAUUAUAUGGUAAACUCUAUGUUUAACUUUUGUGAGAAGCUGUCAAACUGUUUUUCCAAGGCAACUACAUUAUUUAACUUCCCAUCAACAAUAUACAAGGAUUCUAAUUUCUCCACAUCCUUGCCAACACUUGUUAUUUUCUUUUUUGCUGUAGUAAAUAAGAGUGGUAUCUUAUUGCAGUUUUGAUUUGCAUUUCCCUAAUGACUAAAGAUGUUGAAAAAAAUUUUUGAUGUGCUUACUGGUCAUUUGUAUAUCUUCUUUGAGAAAAUGCAUAUUCAAAUCUUUUGCCCAUUUUUGUUGUUGUAAAAUUUCUUUAUAUAUUGUGUAUACUAGACUCUUAUCAAAUAUGUUUUCUCCAAUUCUGUGGGUUGUAUUUUCAAAUUAUUAGUAGUUAUCUUUGAAGCACAAAGUUUUUAAUUUUUUUCAAAAGUUUUUAAUUUUAAUGAAUUCUAGUUUAUCUAUUUUUUCAUUGGUUGCUUGUUUUUGGUGUCACAUCUAAGAGAUUAUUGUCUAAUCCAAGAUCACAAAGCUUUAUACCUAUAUUUUCUCCUAGGAGUUUUAUAGUUUCAGCUUUUGCAUUUAAGUCCUUGAUCUAUUUUGAGUUAACUUUUGUGUUAGGUGUCAUAUUGGAGUCCAAAUAUAUUCUUUUGUGCGUGGAUUUGCUGAAAAGAAUAUUAUGCCCCCAUUGGAUUUUAUUGGCACCCUUGUUGAAAUCAGUAGAACAUAAAUGUAUGGGUUUAUUGCUGGACUUCCAAUUCUAUUGAAUUAAUCACUUUCUGUCCUUAUACUAGUACCAUGUAGUCACAAUUACUUUGUAGUAAUGUUUUAAUUCAGAAAAUGUAACUCUUCCAAUGUUGUUCUUUUUCAAGAAUGUUUUGACUACUCUGGUUUGUUUGCAUUUACAUAUGACUUUUAGGAUCAGUUUGUCAUUUUCUCAAACAAGGCAACAGAAAUUUUGCAAAGGAUUAUAUUAACUCUGUAGACCAAUUUGGGAAGUAUUGUCAUCUUAGCGGUAUUAAGUCUCCCAAUCCAUGAACAAAGAAUGUCUUUCUAUUUAUGGAGCUCUGGCUUAGUUUCUUUCAACAACAUUUUGUAGUUUUCAGCAUAAAAGUCUUACCUUAAUUUUGUAGCAUCUAUUUUGAAGAAUUUUAUUCUUUUUAAUGUUAUUGUAAAUGUAAUUGUUUUAAUUCUAUUUUCUGAUCAUUCCAAGUGUUUAGAAAUACAACUGAUUUUUGUACGUUAACAUUAUAUUUUGCAGCUGUGCUGAAUUUGUUUAUUAGCUCUAAUAUUGUGUGUGUGUAUGUGUGCACAUUCCUUAGGAUUUUCUAUACACAAAGUCAUGUCAUCUGAAAACAGAGAUAAUUUUUACUUCUUUUCCAGUAUAAAAGCCUUUUACGUCUUUUUCUCCUUUAAUUUUCCUGGCUAGAACAUCACGUACAGCGUUAAUUAAAGGUGGUAAGAGAAGACUUCCUUGUGUUAUUCCCAAUCGUAGAGGGAAAGGUUUUAGUUUUUCAUCAUUAACAAUUAUGUUAGCUGUGGGUUUUUCAUAGAUGACUAUUAAAAGGUUGAGAAAGUCCCCUUCUAUUCCUAGUAUGUUGACUGUUAAAUGGUUUUUUUUAAUUGAAAGAUGUUUAAUUUUGUCAAAUGUUUUUUCUUUGUCUACUGAAAUGAUCUUGUUUUUUUCCUACUAAUACAGUGUAAUACAUUGUAUUACACUAGUAUAGUGUAUUCUACUAAUAUAGUGUAAUACAUUGAUUAAUUUUGACAUGUUAAAUUAACCUUACAUUCCUGGGACAAAUCCUACCUACAUCAUGGUAUCUACCAUAUUUCAAUGCCAAUAACACACACCUUUUAUGUUUGUUUGCCAACCACGCCCUCCCCCCUCCACAAAGUAUUUUCAUAAGCACUGCCAUGCCAAUUUUUUUGUAAGUGUUGCUGUAAAAAAAGUAGCAUGUUGCUAUUACAAAAAUACCUCAUGGAGGGAGGGCACAGUUGGCAAGCAAAUAUAGUAGGUGUGCAUUAUUUAUGUAAAAAUAUGAUAAUCCUUUUUUUUACAUUUUGCAUCAGUCAGCUCUUUCAUCAUCUUUAUAACUAGUUACUGUAUCAAAUUUCCUUUCCAAUAUUACUUAAUAUGGAGUUUCUUUCUUAAGGAGAUGCUGAUUGAUAUAUAUACCAAAGAGUUGGAUCUGAGAUUUGAAAACAGAAGUAUAUCUUUCUAAAAGCUGCCACAUAUUGCUUGCUUUUAAAACAUUGAUAGUAUGCUCUAUUACAAAAAGUACUGAUCUACUGUAUACUGUUAUGUAUAUUAUUCUAAAAUAUAUUCAUGUGCACCUGCAUAAGGUUUUAAGUUACAAAACAUUUUUCGACUAUCUUAUUUUCAGAGAGGACAAAGUUCAUGAGCUUUCCUUGGUAAAUUCUGUCACAAUAAAGCUUAUAAGUCCUUAUUUUCUCUUGUUUUUAUUACUAGUAUUUAUAACUAUAACAAUAAAGUAUUACAUUAAAUUUUUGUGACCACAAUAAAAAUAUAAUUCAUUGAAUUAAAUUUUCUUUAUGAUAGAGAGCAUAUAUCAUUAUAUACUCAGUGUGUGGAGAGUGAUUUCUAAGUAUUAUGACUCCAAAGUUUCAUGCAUUUGAAUAAAUGUACUUAUCAGAGUAUAUCGCACAAUUCUUGUCUGUGUUAGCAUAAACCCUAGCUCUUUUCAAAACUUCUUUCUCAUUUCUGGGAUUUGUUAUCCUGAGGGGAAGCUGAGAGUGGUUCAUUGUUUUGCCUUUGUCCAUUAUGUAAGUAAACCCCAAAGGCAUGCUAUAUGGUCACAGAUAAAAUAGCCCAUGGUUUUCAUCAUAGUUAGGAAGGCAAUGAGUUCCCACAAUGGGACAAGGACUGUGUGAAGCCCUGGAAGGGAUGGAUGAACAAGACAGACAUGUCACUUUCCUUGUGGAAUUUAUGACCCAGUUCUAGGCAAAAGAUUCUGUCAAUUAUUAUUGAAUAUUUAAAAAUACAUACUAAAUGUUAAAAAAAAAAAAAACUAAAACAACUAACUAAAUGUUAGAAAUCAAAUAUGUUGGAGAUGUAGCAUGCACAUGCCAAAUGUUCAUUUCAGAAUCCUCCAAUCAGUUUUUGAGAUGGCAUAAAUUUGUAAAGCUCUCUUACUUUCCAUGUUGUUAGACUCAAAAUCUAAUACUUAUUAUUGUGAUUCUGACUGCCUUAACUCACCAAAAUGAUAUGAUUCUGACUGCCUUAACUCACCAAAAUGAUUCAUAAGAGGAAAAGAAAGUCCCCAAAAGCCUUAUGAGAUUAUUUUGGGCCUAUGCAAAGCUUGUUUUUCCUUUCUGGAGAAAAGGAAGUUAUUCUUCUGCCCAAGAAUAAACUAACUCCAAAAGGCAAUUUGAAUUUGCUCUGAAACUAAGAAUCCACAAGAUUUGGGUUGGUUCUAAACAUAGAGAAACAUUAUUUCUUCCUUCCUCAUUAUUAUCCUCUCUAGCUUCCUGUCACAGCAUGAUUACCCACCACAUUCAAAUGUUUUGUUCAACCAGGGCUUUGAACCGAUUCAUUCUCACUCAAACCCCUGCUGAGAAUUUGUACUUCUAACAGGUUUCCUGCUGAGAAUUUGCAUUUAUAACAAGUUUACAGGUAGUUAUACAUAAGAAUCACCUAGGCACCGUGUUAAAAUGCAGAUUCUGAUUUAGUGUAUCUGGGGGAUGGAAAUGCAAAUUCUGAGCAGGGCUUCAAACUGGAACAAACUGGCCUGAAGCCCUGUUCCAAUAUACUUUUAAAUUGUACAACUAAUAAAGAAUUGAUUUAUUCAUUAAAAAGGACAAAUGUAUUGUCUAUUCUGUAUGAAUAAAAUUACAUUAAUUCUAUCACAAUUCUCUAUGUGAAGACUAGAUGGCACAUAGAAAGAAAACAUUUUGUUUUGCUUGUUUUUUAAAUUAAUUGAUACCCCAGGUAAAAACAAAAACAAAAAACAUCUCCCCAAGUGAAAAGCAACAUACUGUUAAGUGGAACAUGGAGGACUUGGAGAAGACUCAGGGGCCAGCCAAUAAAGGAACAUCUGUCUAGAAUGACUUAGCUCUUCACAUGUUGACAGAGCAGGCCUGGGCUAAAGAGGUUCAUGAGGUCUCUUGCAGCUCACAUGAGCAAUGGUUUCCUAAGCCCAUAUUGGAACACAACACUGAGUCAAACUCCUGCUAUACCUGGAAUCCCAUUAUAGCUUGAUUUGGGAGUAGCUCCUGUCUCCACCACAGCCUCAAACGGUCAUUUCUUUGCCAUAAUCCUAUCCCACAUUUUACACAUUUGAUCUUUUGCACUCUGCUUAAAAAUGACAGAGAGAUCUUUACUAUGCAGUAACAUAAUAAAAAUGGAAACUGAUACUUGUGGAUAAACCUCCCAGAAUCUGCAAUAUUUUUUCUCAAGAACGUGAAAAUGAGACGUGACUCAGAAACAAUAGCCAUCAAAUCUGUAUGCACACUGAGAUGACAGAAGACUGGGCUACCUAUUCCUCUCUCUUCCUUAGGUACUCCCUAUCUUGCUUAGUGAGACUAUUAACUCUAGCUCCUGAACCAGAAACCUCUCCUUUAAUCAUCAAGUUGUAAUGAUUUCAUCUCCUAAGUACUUCUUACACAUGCCCUCUCUUAUCUAGGCCUAUACUUCAGUUCAAGCCCUUUGCAUCCCUCACCUGUACUAGUGCAGUAGUUCCUUAAAGGAAUUAUGAAACUUUAAGCACAUAGCAAACAGUAUAAGGAAUAGUAUAAUAGACAUUGGGUAAACACUACCCAGCUUAAGAUAUAAAACAAUACCCUUGCAGUUGAAAUACCCCAUGUAGUACUACACCCUGGCUACAUUCUC